rnacentral:rRNA from 1 species
CCCUUAGAUGUUCUGGGCCGCACGCGUGCUACACUGAGUGGAUCAGCGGGUCAGGUUGCGCGAAAGCGUUUCCUAAUCUUUAAAUCCGCUCGUGAUGGGGAUUGACGGUUGCAAUUUUCUGUCAUGAACGAGGAAUACCUUGUAAGCGCGGGUCAUCAUCCCGCGCUGAAUACGUCCCUGCCCUUUGUACACACCGCCCGUCGCUCCUACCGAUUGAGUGGUCCGGUGAGGCUUUGGGAUCUGAGCGUAAAGAGCGUUUCGCUGUUUCUGCUCGGAAAACUCAGUCGAACCUUAUCAUUUAGAGGAAGGAGAAGUCGUAACA